AUGAACGCUGGCGGCGUGCCUAAUACAUGCCAGUCGAGAGAACAGAUGAGGAGCUUGCUCCUCUGACGUUAGCGGCGGACGGGUGAGUAACACGUGGAUAACCUACCUAUAAGACUGGGAUAACUUCGGGAAACCGGAGCUAAUACCGGAUAAUAUAUUGAACCGCCUGGUUCAAUAGUGAAAGACGGUUUUGCUGUCACUUAUAGAUGGAUCCGCGCCGCAUUAGCUAGUUGGUAGGUAACGGCUUACCAAGGCAACGAUGCGUAGCCGACCUGAGAGGGUGAUCGGCCACACUGGAACUGAGACACGGUCCAGACUCCUACGGGAGGCAGCAGUAGGGAAUCUUCCGCAAUGGGCGAAAGCCUGACGGAGCAACGCCGCGUGAGUGAUGAAGGUCUUCGGAUCGUAAAACUCUGUUAUUAGGGAAGAACAAAUGUGUAAGUAACUAUGCACGUCUUGACGGUACGUAAUCAGAAAGCCACGGCUAACUACGUG
rnacentral:rRNA from 1 species